CAUAUAUAUCUUGAAUCACCGUUGAUUUUCUCUAUAAAAACGUUGGAUCUGCGGAUUUUUGGGCAUGCCCUACUGUUUGUGAUUAUUGACAUAUUUUAAUUCCUGAUUCUUUUGUUAACUUGGUUAUUUUAAGAAUCUGACUUCGACUCUGAUGCUAUAUUUACAAGUAGUUUAGCAUCGAAUGCUAGAAAAUAAUAUAUGAAAAGUAUGUUAAUCAGAAGAAUGGAAGGGGGGUAAAGCUUAUGAGGGAUACCUCAAUAAGCAUAGAGUUGCAAACUAGUAACUGGAUACUUUUCAUCUUGGUUAAGCUUCCAGAUUUCAAUACAUGGCAGAUGGAUUUCACAAGUAAGCCGCUUCUAACUGAAGUCAUCUUCUGGUAAUCACAGGAAUGAAAGUGCAUGGUAGUGACCUCAGAGUAACUGCUUUAGAUACUGAGAUGAUGGGUAAAGUUAAUCGAGAGAGACUGGCAGAAUGAAUACCUUGGCGAGCUGCAGCGGAAAGAAGAUACAAACGAUCGCUAUGUAGCUGCUCUAAGAGGCGAGACAGAAACCAUAUGUAAGGAUUCAGUCAAUACCCAAGCGGAAUAACAUUGAAGCGGACAAGGAGCUGAAACUUGAUAACGAUCAAGGGAAGCAGAUUAGUUGAUGGUUCUUGCUGAUGUGAUCCUUUCCAUAUUUGGUAUAUUAAUGUCAUAGCAGCACAAGAAAUGCAAAAUGGUCCCUUUUCGUCUUGUUACGCAACAGCUUGUAGCCUGUGUUUUAUUUGGAAUAUUUCUGCUUUGGUAUGGGUUUUUUCAUACCCACUGGGAAUGACAACAAUGUAUUUCAUAUUAUAAUGUUUCUGAUUUGCUUUUGGUUUU